rnacentral:rRNA from 1 species
UCAAGCAAAAAAGAGCGCAGGGUGGAUGCCUUGGCACUAAGAGCCGAAGAAAGACGUGAUAAGCUGCGAAAAGCUGCGGGGAGAUGCAAAUAAUCUUUGAUCCGCAGAUGUCUGAAUGGGGAAACCCGGCUGGAAGGACUCCAGCCAUCCAUACGCCAAUCCAUAACGUAUGGAAGGGAACCCGGUGAACUGAAACAUCUAAGUAGCCGGAGGAAGAGAAAGAAACAUCGAUUUCCAGAGUAGCGGCGAGCGAAAUGGAAAGAGGCCAAACCGUUGUGCGUGCACAGCGGGGUUCGGACCGCAUAAUUGAUUCAGUGAUUCUAGCAGAAAGGUUUUGGGAAAGCCUGCCGGAGAGGGUGAAAGCCCCGUAAGCGAAAGGAAAACUGACAAGGCGGUAUCCAGAGUACAUCGAGACACGUGAAACCUUGAUGGAACACGCGGGGACCACCCCGUAAGCCUAAAUACUACUUAGUGACCGAUAGCGCAUAGUACUGUGAAGGAAAGGUGAAAAGGACCCCGGGAGGGGAGUGAAAGAGAACCUGAAACCCUGUGUCUACAAGCUGUGGAAGCACUUUAUAUGUGCGACCGCGUACUUUUUGUAGAACGGUCCGGCGAGUUACGCUUACUGGCAAGGUUAAGCACUUCAGGUGCGGAGCCGUAGGGAAACCAAGUCUUAAGAGGGCCAGAGUCAGUAGGAGUAGACCCGAAACCGGGUGAUCUAUCCAUGUCCAGGUUGAAGCUGCCGUAAGAGGUAGUGGAGGACCGAACCCACAUCCGUUGAAAAGGGUGGGGAUGAGGUGUGGAUAGGGGAGAAAUUCCAAUCGAACCCGGAGAUAGCUGGUUCUCCUCGAAAUAGCUUUAGGGCUAGCCUCGUUUUAGUCUUAUGGAGGUAGAGCACUGAAUUUCCGCGGGGGCGUCAAAGCUUACCAAAGAAUAUCAAACUCCGAAUGCCAUGUAGAUGAUGAACGGGAGUCAGACUGCACGAGAUAAGUUGGGCGGUCAAAAGGGAAAGAGCCCAGACCACCGGCUAAGGUCCCAAAGUGUGUGUUAAGUGGAAAAGGAUGUGGGAAUUCGAAGACAACUAGGAUGUUGGCUCAGAAGCAGCCAUACAUUCAAAGAGUGCGUAACAGCUCACUAGUCGAGAGUCCCUGCGCCGAAAAUGUCCGGGGCUGAAACACAACACCGAAGCCGUGGACUCCGUAAGGAGUGGUAGAGGAGCAUUCUUAAAACCGACGAAGCUGUACCGGUAAGGAGCAGUGGAGGGAUAAGAAGAGAGAAUGCCGGAAUGAGUAGCGAGAGGAAGGUGGGAAUCCUUCCGGCCGAAUAUCUAAGGUUUCCAGAGUAAAGCUGAUCUGCUCUGGGUAAGUCGGGGCCUAAGGAGAGGUCGCAAGACGUAUCCGAUGGACAACAGGUUUAGAUUCCUGUACCGCAUAUAAACAGAACUGUGGGGACGCAUGUGGAAAGCAUAAGCCGGGAAUGGAAAGACCGGUACAAGCGGGGUAGGUGUGUGACAGGCAAAUCCGUCAUAUAAGCCGAAGACGUGAUGUGGAGCGAAAUUUAGUAGUGAAGUAUGUGAGCCAUGUGCCGAGAAAAGCCGCUAUUGUUUUAUAUGUGCCCGUACCGUAAACCGACACAGGUGGAUGAGGAGAGAAUCCUAAGGCCGACGGAAGAAGCAUUGUUAAGGAAUUCGGCAAAAUGACCCCGUAACUUCGGGAGAAGGGGUGCCCACUGAAUGGUGGGCCGCAGAGAAUAGGCUCAAGCAACUGUUUAGCAAAAACACAGGUCUAUGCGAAACCGAAAGGUGAAGUAUAUGGGCUGACGCCUGCCCGGUGCUGGAAGGUUAAGAGGAGAGGUUAGCUUCGGCGAAGCUUUGAAUUUAAGCCCCAGUAAACGGCGGCCGUAACUAUAACGGUCCUAAGGUAGCGAAAUUCCUUGUCGG